GACGAACGCUGGCGGCGUGCUUAACACAUGCAAGUCGAACGGAAAGGCCCUGCUUUUGUGGGGUGCUCGAGUGGCGAACGGGUGAGUAACACGUGAGUAACCUGCCCUUGACUUUGGGAUAACUUCAGGAAACUGGGGCUAAUACCGGAUAGGAGCUCCUGCUGCAUGGUGGGGGUUGGAAAGUUUCGGCGGUUGGGGAUGGACUCGCGGCUUAUGAGCUUGUUGGUGGGGUAGUGGCUUACCAAGGCUUUGACGGGUAGCCGGCCUGAGAGGGUGACCGGCCACAUUGGGACUGCGAUACGGCCCAGACUCCAACGGGAGGCAGCAGUGGGGAAUAUUGCACAAUGGGCGGAAGCCUGAUGCAGCAACGCCGCGUGCGGGAUGACGGCCUUCGGGUUGUAAACCGCUUUCGCCUGUGACGAAGCGUGAGUGACGGUAAUGGGUAAAGAAGCACCGGCUAACUACGUG
rnacentral:rRNA from 1 species